GACGAACGCUGGCGGCGUGCUUAACACAUGCAAGUCGAACGGAAAGGCCCUGCUGUUGUGGGGUGCUCGAGUGGCGAACGGGUGAGUAACACGUGAGUAACCUGCCCUUGACUUUGGGAUAACUUCUGGAAACUGGGGUUAAUACCGGAUAGGAGCUCCUGCUGCCUGGUGGGGGUUGGAAAGUUUCGGCGGUUGGGGGUGGUCUCGCGGCUUAUCAGCUUGUUGGGGGGGUAGUGGCUUACCAUGGCUUUGCUGGGUAGCCCACCUGGGAGGGUGGCCGGCCACAUUGGGACUGAGGGACGGACCAGAGUCCUACGGGGGGCAGCAGGGGGGAAUAUUGCGCAGUGGGCGGAAGCCUGAUGCAGCGACGCCGCGGUCGGAAUGACGGCCUUCGGGUGGGAAACCGCUUUCGCCUGUGACGAAGCGUGAGUGACGGUAAUGGGUAAAGAAGCACCGGCUAACUACGUG
rnacentral:rRNA from 1 species